AGCCUCAUUCUGGAUGAAAAUAGGCACUGUUUUUGUACACGGUGUCCAGAAAUUGUUAAUGUGGCUACACUGAGACACAGGUUAUACUGCCACCACAGUAAUUUUAUUACAGUGGUGACAAUGAGACCUGUGACAAUU